UACAGAGGUCCCAAGCGUUGUUCGGAUUCACUGGGCGUAAAGGGUGCGUAGGCGGUCGGGUAAGUCUGAUGUGAAAUCUCACAGCUUAACUGUGAAACUGCAUUGGAUACUAUCCGGCUUGAGGAAUGGAGGGGAGACUGGAAUACUUGGUGUAGCAGUGAAAUGCGUAGAUAUCAAGUGGAACACCAGUGGCGAAGGCGAGUCCCUGGACAACACCUGACACUGAGGCACGAAAGCUAGGGGAGCAAACAGG
rnacentral:rRNA from 1 species